UCUUCCGCAAUGGACGAAAGUCUGACGGAGCAACGCCGCGUGAGUGAUGAAGGUUUUCGGAACGGAAAACUCUGUUGUUAGGGAAGAACAAGUAUCGGAGCAAUAUCCCGGUACCUUGACGGUACGUAACCAGAAAGCCCCCGCAACCCACGCGCCAGCACGCGCGGCAAACAGUAGGGGGCAAGAGUUGUCCGGAAUUAUUUGGCGUAAAGGGCACGCAGGCGGUUAUUUAAGUCUGAUGUGAAAUCUUGUGGCUUACCCACAAGCGGUCAUUGGAAACUGGAUAACUUGAGUACAGAAGAGGAGAGUGGAAUUCCACGUGUAGCGGUGGAAUGCGUAGAGAUGUGGAGGAACACCAGUGGCGAAGGCGGCUCUCUGGUCGGUAACUGACGCUGAGGUGCGAAAGCGUGGGUAGCGAACA
rnacentral:rRNA from 1 species